CUUGACUGUAGCCUGGAAUUGGGUUCGGGCUUUUCUUGCGCAGACUAGGUGGGAGGCUAUGAAGAUUUCCUUCCGGGGAAGUUGGAGCCAACAGUGAGAGACCACUCUGGAAAGGCUAGAAUCCUCAUGGUGAUCCUUGAAUCAGGACACUUGACAGUUUCAGGCGGGCAGUUUUUCUGGGGCGGAAGCCUCAUAAAGGGUAACUGAGGCGCGCAAAGGUCCCCUCAGUCUGGACGGAAAUCAGACAACGAGUGUAAAGGCAAAAGGGGGCUUGACUGCAAGACCUACAAGUCGAGCAGGAGCGAAAGCUGGCCUUAGUGAUCCGACGGUGCCGCAUGGAAGGGCCGUCGCUCAACGGAUAAAAGUUA
rnacentral:rRNA from 1 species